GACGGGGGAUGCAAGUGUUAUCCGGAAUCACUGGGCGUAAAGCGUCUGCAGGUGGUUUCCUAAGUCCACUGUUAAACCUUGAGGCUCAACCUCAAAUCUGCAUUGGAAACUAGGAGACUUGAGUAUAGUAGGGGUAGAGGGAAUUUCCAGUGGAGCGGUGAAAUGCGUAGAGAUCGGGAAGAACGCCAAGGGCGAAGGCACUCUGCUAGGCCUGAUUUCGCGACUGACACUCAGGGACGAGAGCCAGGGGAGCGAAUGGG
rnacentral:rRNA from 1 species